rnacentral:tRNA from 2 species
ACUUUUAAAGGAAAAUAGCU